GGGAGUAGGGGAAGAAAUACAAAUAAAAGCUGGGCACAGUGGCUCACGCCUGUAAUCCCAGCACUUUGGGAGGCCGAGGUCAGGGACGUCAAAGAUGCAUCCCUGAGUUCUUCCUAGCAGGCAAGUGGCCGUGCACCAAUGACAUGGCCAAAAGCAAUUCUGUUGGCCAGGACAGCUGUCAGGACUCUGAUGGUGACAUGAUCUUUCCUGCAGAGAGCAGCUGUGCACUGCCUCAGGAAGGCAGUGGAGAAGCAUGGCUGGGCUCAUCAGGGUCUGCCCCGCCCUCCAGGAAGCGGUCUCGGUCCUCUGAGGAAGAGAGUAACCAGGCUACCGGGACCAGCCAGUGGGAUGGAGUUUCUAAGAAAGCUCUGCGGCACCAUUUGUCUGUGCCAUGCACAAGGCCUAGGGAGGCCAGGCAAGAAGCAGAGGACAGUAUGUCUCGGCUCUCUGCAGAGUCUGGAGAAACCGACCAAGAUGCUGGGGACAUGGGUCCUGAUCUCGUUCCUGACUCAUACUAUGGGCUUCUUGGGACCUUGCCCUGCCAGGAAGCACCGAGCCACAUUUGCAGCCUGCCUAGUGAGGUCCUGAGGCACGUGUUUGCCUUCCUCCCGGUGGAAGACCUCUAUUGGAACCUGAGCUUGGUGUGCCACCUGUGGAGGGAGAUCAUCAGUGACCCACUGUUCAUUCCUUGGAAGAAGCUGUACCAUCGAUACCUGAUGAAUGAAGAACAAGCUGUCAGCAAAGUGGACGGCAUCCUGUCUAACUGUGGCAUAGAAAAGGAGUCAGACCUGUGUGUGCUGAACCUCAUACGAUACACAGCCACCACUAAGUGCUCCCCGAGUGUGGAUCCCGAGAGGGUGCUGUGGAGUCUGAGGGACCACCCCCUCCUC
rnacentral:sRNA from 1 species